rnacentral:lncRNA from 1 species
UCAUUUAGAAAAAUACCAGACGGAUGAUGCCUGCAAUGUCAAUCAAAAAUAAUGGAUCCAUUACCAUUCACCAUAAUGAGAGGCUAUGAUCUAGUAAUCACCAUAACUAGCUAAUUUUAUGAACCUAAUAAUUUAGAGGAUUUAGUUUGAAGGAAAAAAAAUUAUUUCUCCUUUGAUUGCCUAGGUUGCAUCUAAAAAUUUUUUUAUUCAUCUACAUGAUUAAGGAUCAAAUCCUUACCUGAUUAGCAAUGGAACCAGAGAUCAAAUCUCAAUUUAUCUAGAUUAAACCUUCAUGGAGGUCUGGAUAUGUAGAUCCUCUACUUCACAUGCAUGAC